rnacentral:rRNA from 1 species
AUUGAACGCUGGCGGCAUGCCUUACACAUGCAAGUCGAACGGCAGCACGAGUGCUUGCACUUGGUGGCGAGUGGCGAACGGGUGAGUAAUACAUCGGAACGUGUCCUAAAGAGGGGGAUAACGCAUCGAAAGAUGUGCUAAUACCGCAUAAUCUCUUUGGAGAAAAGUAGGGGAUCGAAAGACCUUACGCUUUUGGAGCGGCCGAUGUCUGAUUAGCUAGUUGGUGGGGUAAAGGCUUACCAAGGCAACGAUCAGUAGUUGGUCUGAGAGGAUGGCCAACCACACUGGGACUGAGACACGGCCCAGACUCCUACGGGAGGCAGCAGUGGGGAAUUUUGGACAAUGGGGGAAACCCUGAUCCAGCAAUGCCGCGUGAGUGAAGAAGG